GCACCUCAGGUUCAUUCAUUCCCACCAUUCUUGACUUCUUCCUUCAUUCCUUCCUUCCUUCCUUCCUCGACACACCUUAUAAGAAAAGAGUUUCCACUACCUUCCUUUCUUGAUACCUAACUGAACAUUCUUAGAGCAUCACCAUUGUAGUUCAACAUCAUAAUGAUGUGAAAAAUGGGAAUGCUUUAAGAAUUUCAGUUAUGCAUCAAUCAUGGCAGCUACUUCUUCUGACCUCGUAAUAUUUUGUGGGGAAAAAUCUGUUUUGAAUCUUUUUUUGUUAUUCACUACAUUUUUCAUUUUAACUAAUAUGAACUGAUAGCAUCAAUAAGGCUGUUUCUUUUUAUGAGUUUUUCCAGUUAAGUUGAUUGCUCAGUUCUAGCAUUCUGUAAUGAGUCUGAGGUAGGCUUGGGGUUGAAAAACUUUGCUACUGUUUCAUACUGAUUCUCUUCCUCAAAAGGCUUUGACACAUAUCCCUACAUCCCAAGGUUCAUCAUAGAGAACAUGUUCAGAUGGCAUCUUGCACAAUAUAUUGGCCAUGGAGUAAUUAACGUGCCAUUUCAAAUCUUCUAACAUGGUUCACCGUUGACAAUUCUUGCUCAUGUUACGUAACUUCUGUUGUUAUAACUAAUAAGCAACCCUUCAUGGCAAAGCUGCACUAGAAAUGCUUCCAUUGCCUCACAAUUUUUUAUGUUUGCUUCAUGGAUAUUCAAAUGUCAGAAAUGGACGGGUAUAUUUGAAUUUUUUUGCUGUAUUAUUUGCAGAUAAUCUAGAAACUAACCAAUUAAAAGUAUUAACAUGAUAGCUGCUGUGUUAAUAUGAAUUUUUUUUGCAAUUUAUAUGGAAGCUUCAUAUCUUAGGAACAUGUUGAAACAGAGUAUUUGAAUCAGGUACCAGUACGACAUGUGUCAAAGCCUUUUGAGGAAGAGAAUCAGUAUGAAGCAGUUGCAAAGUUUUUCAACCCCAAGUCAAGCCUAACUCAGAUUCAUUACAGAAUGCCAGAACUGAGCAAGCAACUUAAAUUGGAGACACUCAAUAUUUUUCUUUUGCAUCUCUAUACUUCUCUAUCAGAAGGGUUUAAAAAAAAAACUAUAUAUAGUUUCGCUCUCUCUCUCUCUCUUUUUUUCUCUGCAAAAUUGUCUCUAUAAGAUUUGGUUAGUUUCUAUAUUCAGAAGAAAAAGAUUGGUGCUUAAUAAUGGCUAGCUAAACCACAUUGGUAGCACAGUGAUAUGAUAUGAUAUGAUAUGAAGUUAUGAACAUUUGCAAUAUGUUUCCUCGUAAUCGUUUUCCUACUUGGGACGCACUGAAUUCGGGUCAUAGUAUUUACAAAACUCACCGUCACCGAUAAAUUAGAAUAUUAAAAUAUAUGUAUUUAAUAAAAUUAUUUGUCGCUAUGUUAAAUCUAAAAAAUAAAGUAAUUUUUUUUGAAUUAACAUCAGAAAUGUUUUUUUUUUAAAUAUAAUUACCUGUAUGGAUUAACUAGAAAAAUAUUUCCGUUUCAUGAAAGAUUUAUUUAAAAAGAGUGAUAAUUUGUGUAAAAUUUCUACCCAAUUAACAUUUGAUAUUCUCUCUAUAUCUCCCUUUUAAGGUAAAGAGUUUUACCAUUCCAUAAUCAAGUCAAACAGGGUUAUCACUUAGUAAAAAACACUACAAAUUAACUAAAAUAACUGGUUAAACAUACCCAAAGUGUACACACACACACACAAAAUACUUGAUCAAAUUGAUAUGUGAGAAGUGAUUUUGAGAAAUAAUGAAUAGUACUGAUUAAUAUGAGCGUGUAAGUAUAUUGUUUAUAGUUUUAACGGUGAUUCUACAUGUUUUGAAAGUAUAUCCAUACAUAUAUGUUACAAAAUAUAAGUUGAUUUAAAUAUAGGCUUAUAUACUGACCAAUUUCUCUCUAACCAAAAUACCAAAUGAAAUGAAAGUGUGGUUUAAUGCAAAUAGGAGCGGAUCGAUUGAUUACAGAGUGGAAGUAAAUAAAUAUCUUUGGCAAUGACAGAUACGUGUGAAUGGUGCAGAGCUCGUGUGACACUGCUAUGUUUGGAUGAGUGUGGCAAUACACUUAGUUACCGUACAUCUCAGUACUCUCUGUCUGCCACAAUAUUGUUACAUUUUUAUUUUUUGCAGUGAAUUUCACUUGGACUAGUAACUAGUAAAUAGAGCAAAAUUCUGUCAAUUUUCUAGUUAUACGACACAACUUUAGCCUUGUUCAACUUGAUGUGAUAUUUUUUUUAUA